ACACCUCAACCCUUCAAUGUUUUUGCAUUGAAGGUGUUGGUAGUGAGCGCUGCCGGACUUUUGGUCGGCUCGCUUUAAAAUCAUUAGCUGGAUCCAUUCUGACCUGGUUCUACUCGGAGGCAGGCGGCCACAGUAAGGGUGUUUGAACCGCUUCCAACACGUCUUGCUCUUGUAGCAAACACUUGAAC
rnacentral:misc_RNA from 1 species